rnacentral:rRNA from 1 species
CCUACGGGAGGCAGCAGUGGGGAAUUUUGGACAAUGGGCGCAAGCCUGAUCCAGCUGUUCCGCGUGUGGGAUGACGGCCCUCGGGUUGUAAACCCCUUUAGUCGAGAACGAAAAGGAGCUAUCGCAUAAAUCGCUCUGCUGACGGUACUCUAAGAAUAAGCACCGGCUAACUACGUGCCAGCAGCCGCGGUAAUACGUAGGGUGCGAGCGUUAAUCGGAAUUACUGGGCGUAAAGGCUGUGCAGGCGGCUGAGUAAGACAGAUGUGAAAUCCCCGGACUUAACCUGGGAACCGCAUAUGUGACUGCGUGGCUGGAGUGCGUGAGAGGGAGGUGGAAU